GACGAACGCUGGCGGCGUGCCUAAUACAUGCAAGUAGAACGCUGAAGGAGGAGCUUGCUUCUCCGGAUGAGUUGCGAACGGGUGAGUAACGCGUAGGUAACCUGCCUGGUAGCGGGGGAUAACUAUUGGAAACGAUAGCUAAUACCGCAUAAGAGUAGAUGUCGCAUGACAUUUGCUUAAAAGGUGCAACUGCACCACUACCAGAUGGACCUGCGUUGUAUUAGCUAGUUGGUGAGGUAACGGCUCACCAAGGCAACGAUACAUAGCCGACCUGAGAGGGUGAUCGGCCACACUGGGACUGAGACACGGCCCAGACUCCUACGGGAGGCAGCAGUAGGGAAUCUUCGGCAAUGGACGGAAGUCUGACCGAGCAACGCCGCGUGAGUGAAGAAGGUUUUCGGAUCGUAAAGCUCGGUUGUAAGAGAAGAACGAGUGUGAGAGUGGAAAGUUCACACUGUGACGGUAUCUGACCAGAAAGGGACGGCUAACUACGUG
rnacentral:rRNA from 1 species